rnacentral:rRNA from 1 species
UACGAAGGGGGCGAGCGUUGUUCGGAUUUACUGGGCGUAAAGCGCACGUAGGCGGCUUUGCAAGUCGGAUGUGAAAUCCCUCGGCUCAACCAAGGAAGUGCAUCCGAAACUGCAGAGCUUGAGUACCAAAGAGGAUCGCGGAAUUCCCGGUGUAGAGGUGAAAUUCGUAGAUAUUAGGAAGAACACCAGUGGCGAAGGCGGCUCACUGGCCCGGUACUGACGCUGAGGCGCGAAAGCGUGGGGAGCAAACAGG